UGUUGGUAGGGUAAUGGCCUACCAAGACUAUUAUCAAUAGCUGGUCUGAGAGGAUGAUCAGCCACAUUGGGACUGAGACACGGCCCAAACUCCUACGGGAGGCAGCAGUGGGGAAUCUUGCACAAUGGAGGAAACUCUGAUGCAGCGAUGCCGCGUGAGUGAAGAAGGCCCUUGGGUUGUAAAGCUCUUUCGUCGGGGAAGAAAAUGACUGUACCCGAAUAAGAGGGUCCGGCUAACUUCGUGCCAGCAGCCGCGGUAAUACGAAGGGACCUAGCGUAGUUCGGAAUUACUGGGCUUAAAGAGUUCGUAGGUGGUUGAAAAAGUGGUGGUGAAAUCCCAGAGCUUAACUCUGGAACUGCCAUCAAAACUUUUCAGCUAGAGUAUGAUAGAGGAAAGCAGAAUUUCUAGUGUAGAGGUGAAAUUCGUAGAUAUUAGAAAGAAUACCAAUUGCGAAGGCAGCUUUCUGGAUCAUUACUGACACUGAGGAACGAAAGCGUGGGUAGCGAAGAGGAUUAGAUACCCUCGUAGUCCAUGCCGUAAACGAUGUGUGUUAGACGUUGGAAAUUUAUUUUCAGUGUCGCAGCGAAAGCGAUAAACACACCGCCUGGGGAGUACGACCGCAAGGUUAAAACUCAAAUGAAUUGACGGGGACCCGCACAAGUAGUGGAGCAUGUGGUUUAAUUCGAAGAUACGCGCAGAACCUUACCAACACUUGACAUGUUCGUCGCGACUCUAAGAGAUUAGAGUUUUCGGUUCGGCCGGAUGAAACACAGGUGCUGCACGGCUGUCGUCAGCUCGUGUCGUGAGAUGUUGGGUUAAGUCCCGCAACGAGCGCAACCCUCACUUUUAGUUGCCAUCAUUAAGUUGGGCACUCUGAAAGAACUGCCAGUGAUAAGCUGGAGGAAGGUGGGGAUGACGUCAA
rnacentral:rRNA from 1 species